rnacentral:rRNA from 1 species
AAAAAGCUCGUAGUUGGAUCAAGAGUUCCACGGUGCACGGUGGCCCUGUUUUCUGCGGUGGUUCCGAUCGCCAACGAGGCAGCGGAUCAACCCCGUGCGCCAAACUGUGGUCUCUAACAGGCCGAAACGGUUCCCUGUGAGUAGGCUCCUUCAUUGGGGCUGAAAGCGCUUACGCAUCAACCAUAUGCAUACGGGACGUCGGCCAAUGUUACUGUGAACAAACCAGCGUGUCCAAAACAGGCUUUCGCCUGAAUGUUCGAGCAUGGAAUAACAAGGGAUCGAUUCUCUCGGUUCUUUUUGUUGGUUUUUAACCCGAGAAGGAGUAAUUCAGGCCACGGUGUCUGAGUUGGGUUCCCCGUCACCUCGGUGGCGGCCCCAAUUAGGCCGUGUCCUUACGGGAUCAAUAGGGACUGACGGGGUCGUACGUACUUCCACGUCAGAGGUGAAAUUCUUAGAUCGUGGGAAGAUGAACUUCUGCGAAAGCAUUCGACAAGAAUGUCUUCAUUAAUCAAGAACGAGAGUGUGGGGAUCGAAGAUGAUCAGAUACCGUCGUAGUCCACUACUGU